rnacentral:rRNA from 1 species
CCUACGGGUGGCUGCAGUGAGGAAUAUUGGUCAAUGGGCGCGAGCCUGAACCAGCCAAGUCGCGUGAGGGAAGACGGUCCUAUGGAUUGUAAACCUCUUUUGUCGGGGAGCAAAAGACGCCACGCGUGGCGUUCCGAGAGUACCCGAACAAAAAGCAUAGGCCAACUCCGGUCCAGCAGCCGCGGUAAUAUGGAGGAUGCGAGCGAUAUCGGGAUUUAUUGGGUUUAAAGGGUGCGCAGGGGGAAAAUCAAGUCAGCGGUAAAAUUGAGAGGCUCAACCUCUUCGAGCCGUUGAAACUGGUUUUCUUGAGUGAGCGAGAAGUAUGCGGAAUGCGUGGUGUAGCGGUGAAAUGCGUAGAUAUCACGCAGAACUCCGAUUGCGAAGGCAGCAUACCGGCGCUCGACUGACGCUCAUGCACGAAAGUGUGGGUAUCGAACAGGAUUAGAUACCCGUGUAGUC